rnacentral:misc_RNA from 1 species
GAUGAAGAACGUAGCGAAAUGCGAUAAGUAGUGUGAAUUGCAGAAUUCAGUGAAUCAUCGAAUCUUUGAACGCACAUUGCGCCUUCUAGUAUUCUGGGAGGCAUGCCUGUUUGAGCGUCAUUUCACCACUCAAGCCUGGCUUGGUGUUGGGCGACGUCCCCUUUGGGGACGCGCCUCGAAACGCUCGGCGGCGUGGCACCGGCUUUAAGCGUAGCAGAAUCUUUCGCUUUGGAAGUCGGGGCCCCGUCUGCCGGAAGACCUACUCGCAAGGUUGACCUCGGAUCAGGCAGGGAUACCCGCUGAACUUAAGCAUAUCAAUAAGCGGAGGA